AUUAGUUUUCUUCUAAUUACUCUCGUUUUAAAAUAUCUUUUAUAUAUUGGUGGUUUAACAUCUUCCAGAAUUUUCUGUAGUUAAAUUAUUACACUCAAAUACUUCAGGAAUUAAUGUCCUACUACUAACACUUGGUGAAUUUUAUUUAUCUUAGGUUUAGUUUCUUAAGUUUUACUUUCACAUUUUUAAAUUGUUCAGAUGUAAUUUGGUUAACUAUUGAAAAUUAUCUCUUAUUUGUGUUCUAUGUAUUGCACUGAUCUUGACCUGUACAGUUGAUAGUGACUUUUUAAAGUGGGCCAUGCUCAAGACUGAGGUGGUAAGACAUGCACAUAGAAAUAUUAAUUAUAGCUUCCCCUUACCUCCAGAACUCUUCAGUUCUUUACCCUAUAACUUCUUCUGAAUACUAAUAUUCCCACUUGUGCAGAAGUGCAGAAUUGAACUUAAAGAGGCUGACAGUUUGGAUGACUUGUUCAAGAUAUCUGCAGCGAGUAUAUUUGGAAAUACUGUAUAUCUGAACACUUAAAUGUGUGUUUGGGACUGACAAUAGCUGACUAACAUGUCCUGAGCUGUGAGAGGGCAUAGCAAGAAGGCCUUCAUGCGG